GGAGAGGAUAAGUAAAUAAUUGUCACAUUGUCACAUGAUUUGUGAGAAGCACUGUUAUCUUAAUAUUAUUGUUCAAAUAUUGAUGUGAAUGUAACAGAUAAAAGUCAGGACUCAAUGCAGACUACAGUAGUGUAGACCUGUGGAGAUACAAGUAUGUAGGUAUUUUUGAUGUAGGAAAUUAAAUUUCUUAAAGGCAGUGAAUCAGUGAACAACUCUGUAGCUAAUGAAAAUAUUUAGCUGUUUUUCUUCCAUACAGUGUUCUGUGUAUACACACAGGUGAAUACAUCUAUCCUGAAUCAAACAGAAGACCUGUCUGAUCUACUAAGGAUUGAAAUAAGUUUUCUUUCUCCUGAAGUGCAGUGUAAUGAUGAUGCAUCAUCCUUUGCACAGUGAACUUACCACAAACGUCUGUAUCACGCGAACCAAUGAGGAGGAAGAGUAUUUGUAUCACAGAGCCAAAGGACAGUAAAAGUCAAUAACCAUCACAUGGUUUGCGAGAAGCACUAUUGGCUUAGUUCAAAUAUUAAUGUGAAUGUAACAGAUAAAAGUCAGGACUCAUUGCAGACUACAUCAGUGUAGACUUGUGGAGAUACAGGACAUCAUGAGGCUCCAAUGGAUGCUCCUGCUAGGAGCCUGCGCGGUGGUGAGGGCAGCAAACCCACCUGCUCUUUACCACCGUUUUGUCCAGAUCCACAUACAAACGAGAAUGGCAAUCCAGGACUGUUCUCGUGUCAUGCAAAAACUGCAGCUGAAUGAGCCUGGAACUCAGAACUGCAAAUAUACAAACACGUUCAUCGUUACUAACCCUAUCCUCCAACAAGUCGAGGCCGUCUGUAAUAAUGCUGGAACACGUGACUUUACAGCUGGCAAUAUAUUCACUAGCAAUCAACGAUUCUCUCUUGUCACUUGUAGGCUCUCUAGUGGCACUCAACACCCCAAUUGUGAAUAUAAUGGUACUCCAUCAAUAAGGAGAAUCAGAGUUUCUUGUGACCCUGAUGGGCAGAACCGUCGUAUACUCUGGCCAACACACUAUGCAGGUGAUGUUGUUUAGCAUAUUUUUGUCAGCUACAAUACUUUAAUCAGGUCUACUAUUUUUUUUUCCAAUAAGGUGGGAAUAUGCCGCUACACAAUUUGCCAUCAAAUGUUAUAGAAACUCGCCAGUUCAAUUUAAAAGGAUUGUGUUACAUAUGAUCCCUUUGUUAUUAGUGGCUUCCUUUUACAGUAAUACAAUGCCUGAUUUCUUGAUUUGCUCUCAGUUGUGACAAAUACAUCUGAAAAGCAGCGUGAUUUUAAUUGCAACUAAAUUGUGAAAAUGUAUUAAAUAAAUGGUACAGUGUGGGCAGACUGUUAAGAAG